AUUCGGCUGACGAGUCCCAAAUGGGAUGAAACGCACAUCCUGGAU
rfam:Schistosoma rodhaini strain Burundi genome assembly, scaffold: SROB_scaffold0004844